UGGGACAGUAUUGCACACGCCCUACCUGCACCUAGGACAGUAUUGCACAUGCAUCCCGUGCCUUUGGGACAGUAUUGCAUGCUCACCGCCUGCACUUGGGACGGUAUUGCAUACGCAUCCUGUGCUCUUCAGGUAGAAUUGCACACGCACCGCCUGCCCUUGGGACAGUAUUGUACGUGCACCGCCUGCCCUUGGGAUAGAAAUGCACACGCAUCGCCUGCCCUUGGGAUAGAAUUGCAUGCGCACCGCCUGCCCUUGGAAUAGUAUUGCACAUGGACGGCUUCAGACAUGCUGUUAUGAUCUUACUGCAGUGAUUCCUCUAAGCUCUGCCAUCACAGAAGGUGGCACCUGGGCCAGUGGACAUUUGACCCUCGACCUCGGGCAGCUGGUCAAGGCUGACAUUAUCAUGGGCACAGUCAUCAGAUUAUUACGGUAGCUGGGUACACGUGGCACCGACAGAUCACCCAGGUGUGCACACAGUAAUUGACUGGCUAAUGGAACAGAAUGGACCCUCUGAAGUUCCUCAUUUGUGCAAAUGCAUCCUUCUCUUGUCUGCCAACAUGACUGUCUUUAUUUACUUUCACCUCGAGUCGAUAGAAGCACAUGGUCUGUGAGCAGAAUGUAAAUUCAGACUCAUUUCAGAAAGGACACUGUGUUCAUCAUGGGAAUAAAAGACACACCCUUUUCUUCAGAGUUGGACUGAGUCUCUAGAAAUUAAUUGGUCUCUGUGUUGCAGAUGAAAAGUAGAGAGAUGGUGACACUUUUGGGUUGGGACCUCCCCCUCUGGAACCCGCUGCUCUUUGUUCAUUUCACAGGUAUUUGCAGAGUGGCCACGGCGUGCGGCCACGGAUUCAGACCAAAGGUAAUGGAGAGAGGGAUUUCCUCUCCAUUUCUAUAGUCUGAUGGUUUUUAAUUUCUGGGAACAGACAUUCAAAAUGAUCAGAUAUGUAACAUAAAAAAAUCAACUGGAGUAGGUGACAUACAGCGAAAUAAGAUGAUGAGACUGCUAGGUGUUUUUUGAAGACAUUUGGGGUGUCGCUUCUCCCCUGUGGAGACAGAAAGCAAU